AUUGAACGCUGGCGGCAGGCCUAACACAUGCAAGUCGAACGGUAACAGGAAGUAGCUUGCUGCUUCGCUGACGAGUGGCGGACGGGUGAGUAAUGUCUGGGAAGCUGCCUGAUGGAGGGGGAUAACUACUGGAAACGGUAGCUAAUACCGCAUAAUGUCGCAAGACCAAAGAGGGGGACCUUCGGGCCUCUUGCCAUCGGAUGUGCCCAGAUGGGAUUAGCUUGUUGGUGGGGUAACGGCUCACCAAGGCGACGAUCCCUAGCUGGUCUGAGAGGAUGACCAGCCACACUGGAACUGAGACACGGUCCAGACUCCUACGGGAGGCAGCAGUGGGGAAUAUUGCACAAUGGGCGCAAGCCUGAUGCAGCCAUGCCGCGUGUAUGAAGAAGGCCUUCGGGUUGUAAAGUACUUUCAGCGGGGAGGAAGGGAGUAAAGUUAAUACCUUUGCUCAUUGACGUUACCCGCAGAAGAAGCACCGGCUAACUCCGUG
rnacentral:rRNA from 1 species